rnacentral:rRNA from 1 species
AGCGGCGGAUGGGUGAGUAACACGUGGGGAACCUGCCCCUAAGUCUGGGAUACCAUUUGGAAACAGGUGCUAAUACCGGAUAAUAAAGCAGAUCGCAUGAUCAGCUUUUGAAAGGCGGCGUAAGCUGUCGCUAAGGGAUGGCCCCGCGGUGCAUUAGCUAGUUGGUAAGGUAACGGCUUACCAAGGCGACGAUGCAUAGCCGAGUUGAGAGACUGAUCGGCCACAUUGGGACUGAGACACGGCCCAAACUCCUACGGGAGGCAGCAGUAGGGAAUCUUCCACAAUGGACGCAAGUCUGAUGGAGCAACGCCGCGUGAGUGAAGAAGGUUUUCGGAUCGUAAAGCUCUGUUGUUGGUGAAGAAGGAUAGAGGUAGUAACUGGCCUUUAUUUGACGGUAAUCAACUAGAAAGUCACGGCUAACUACGUGCCAGCAGCCGCGGUAAUACGUAGGUGGCAAGCGUUGUCCGGAUUUAUUGGGCGUAAAGCGAGCGCAGGCGGAAAAAUAAGCCUAAUGUGAAAGCCCUCGGCUUAACCGAGGAACCGCAUCGGAAACUGUUUUUCUUGAGUGCAGAAGAGGAGAGUGGAACUCCAUGUGUAGCGGUGGAAUGCGUAGAUAUAUGGAAGAACACCAGUGGCAAAGGCGGCUCUCUGGUCUGCAACUGACGCUGAGGCUCGAAAGCAUGGGUAGCGAACAGGAUUAGAUACCCUGGUAGUCCAUGCCGUAAACGAUGAGUGCUAAGUGU